CCUUCAAACGAGCAUGUUCGCUUUCCUUUUCUUUCUGAACAAGUUGGUCAAAUUCAGCCUUUCCAUUUUUCCUGAAUAGUAAUACUUUAUGAAUAUUCUUUCGUGUAAUAGGUGUCAGGGCUUUUUGUUGAGCUAAGCAAAUACCUACUGUCUUUGCAGUCAUAUGAAAACGAAUAUCCUUUGGACCAUCUACAAAUUCGAGUACGCCCAUGGGAGCAUUAUCGGUUGAUCUAGGAGGAAGUUUUAAAAGCCUUGUAUACCCACAUCUCCGACCAUUGUACCGUGGUACUAAUACAUCAAACACCUUCUUUAAAGUGGUUUCUUUCUCAAAAACCAUUCCUUCGGCUAAUCCCUUACGGUUGUUUUGAGGAUUUGCUCGUUUAGCCAUUGUAAUCAAUUUUUCCGCGAAUCUCUGGGCUUCCUUAGCUUUUGCCCAGGUGGUUUGGAUCGAUUCAUGCUUUACCAAUGAAGUUCUGUUCCAUUUAUUAGUUAAACAACCGUUGACCUACAAAAAUUUCUAAAUUCUAGUUACAUACACCAAGUUUCUUAAAAGCGCUUGACGAUGUGCCGAGGUCCUUCCCAAUUUCCUAUAAUAAAGUGUUUUGGUCAUUUUUAUGGUCUUUCUGUAGUUAUACUAAUCCUGUCUUCUUGUGAUCGUGAGAUCACCAGUAAUGGGUUUGGGUACAGGUUGCAUAUAAUGCAGUGCUUAUAAGCAGUUACAGCUACCAUGUAUACAUGUCAGUAUUAUGGUUGAAAGUUCGUGAAAUAAUA